rnacentral:rRNA from 1 species
AUACUUAGGGUGCGAGCGUUAAUCGGAAUUACUGGGCGUAAAGCGAGUGUAGGCGGCUGUAUAAGUCGGAUGUGAAAGCCCCGGGCUCAACCUGGGAAUUGCAUUCGAAACUGUACAGCUAGAGUUUGGUAGAGGUAAGUGGAAUUCAAGGUGUAGCGGUGAAAUGCGUAGAUAUCUUGAGGAACAUCAGUGGCGAAGGCGGCUUACUGGACCAAAACUGACGCUGAGGCUCGAAAGCGUGGGGAGCAAACAGGAUUAGAAACCCCAGUAGUCC